rnacentral:lncRNA from 1 species
GGGUCAUGUCCUCAGUAAGCUGUAGUUGCUCUAUAUCAUGUCUAAUCACUUCCCUCCAGUACUUCUUCGACCUACCUCUUCUCCUCCGAAAGACAUCCAGCGCUAGCCUCUCAUACCUACGAACUGGGGCAUCCGUGCCCCUCCUCAUCACAUGCCCAAACCAUCUCAGCCUUCCUUCCCGCAUCUUGUCCUCUGCCCAAGCCACUCCCACCUUC